GAUCCUUGGUUCAAGAAAGGGAAGCAUAAGGAAAUUAAUUUCUACGACGAGGAGCUCAACAAGGCUGUUGAUGAGAAAAAAGAUGAGGAAUUAGCUUCUACAAGCUUGAAUGCCUUCGAUAUCAUAUCUUUCUCCUCCGGUUUGAACCUAUCAGGGUUGUUUGAUGAUUCAUAUAAUGUGGUUGAUGACGGAGAAAGAUUUGUGUCGACCGAAUCGCCAGAGAAUUUGAUGAAGAAGGUUGAGGAGUUUGCAAAGGAGGAGAGGUUGAGGGUGAAGAGAAGGAAAGAAUGGGGGUUGGAGAUGGAAGGGCAAAAUGGUAACCUGAUGAUAGCGGUCGAGGUUCACCGGUUAACCGAUACUUUGUUUGUUGUGGAGGCUAAGAGGAGUGGUGGUGAUGCUGGAUGCUUUAAGGAGACAUGGAAGAAUAAGCUUAAGCCUGUGAUUAUGGCUACUUAGUAAUUAGGAGUACUUAUUAAUCAACAAUAGAGCCAGGUUUCUGCU
rnacentral:lncRNA from 1 species